rnacentral:rRNA from 1 species
AAAUUGGAUUUUCCUAGUAACGGCGAGUGAAGAGGAAAGAGCUCAAAGUUGGAACCUGUUUGGCCUAGCUAAACCGGAUUGUAGACUGUAGAAGUGUUUUCCAGGCAAGCCGAGUAAAUAAGUCCUUUGGAACAGGGCAUCAUAGAGGGUGAGAAUCCCGUCUUUGGCUUGAGCAUUUGCCUUUUGUGAUACGCUUUCAAAGAGUCAGGUUGUUUGGGAAUGCAGCCUAAAUUGGGUGGUAAAUCUCACCUAAAGCUAAAUAUUGGCGAGAAACCGAUAGCGAACAAGUACCGUGAGGGAAAGAUGAAAAGAACUUUGAAAAGAGAGUUAAACAGUAUGUGAAAUUGUUAAAAGGGAACCGUUUGGAGCCAGACUGGCUUGUCUGUAAUCAAUCUAGGCUUCGGCCUGGAUGCACUUGCAGGCUAUGCCUGCCAACGACAAUUUGACUUGAGGGAAAAAACUAAGGGAAAUGUGGCCCACUUGUGGGUGUUAUAGUCCCUUAGAAAAUACCUUGGGUUGGAUUGAGGAACGCAGCGAAUGCUUUUUGGCGAGUUUUCCAGGAAGGUUUUCUGAGGUACUACGGUAUCAAGGUUGAUCUUUUUGGUUAUACUUCUAUUCGCUUAGGUUGUUGGCUUAAUGACUCUAAAAAAACCCGUCUUAAAACAACGGACCAAAA